rnacentral:rRNA from 1 species
AUUGAACGCUGGCGGCAGGCCUAACACAUGCAAGUCGAGCGAGCGGCGGACGGGUGAGUAAUGUCUGGGAAACUGCCGGAUGGAGGGGGAUAACUACUGGAAACGGUAGCUAAUACCGCAUACAAUCCGAUUUGCCCAGAUGGGAUUAGCUAGUCGGUGGGGUAACGGCGCACAUAGGCGACGAUCCCUACCUGGUCUGAGAGGAUGACCAGCCAAACUGGAACUGAGACACGGUCCAGACUCCGACGGGAGGCAGCAGUGGGGAAUAUUGCACAAUGGGCGAAAGCCUGAUGCAGCCAUGCCGCGUGUGUGAAGAAGGCCUUCGGGUUGUAAAGCACUGUCAGCGGGGAGGCGUUACCCGCAGAAGAAGCACCGGCUAACUCCGUGCCAGCCGCCGCGGUAAUUC